CACGGGGGGAGCAAGCGUUGUUCGGAAUCACUGGGCGUAAAGGGCGUGUAGGCGGUCAAGUAAGUGGAAUGUGAAAGCCCCCGGCUUACCCGGGGAUCUGCAUCCCAAACUGCUUGGCUUGAGUACGGGAGAGGAUGGAGGAAUUCCUGGUGUAGCGGUGAAAUGCGUAGAUAUUGGGAAGAACACCGGUGGCGAAGGCGGCCAUCUGGACCGCAACUGACGCUGAGGCGCGAAAGCGUGGGGAGCAAACAGG
rnacentral:rRNA from 1 species